AAUAACCCUAAAAUCCUAAACCUAUAAAAGGAAGACCCUAGACAACAAAAAGGAUCGGACUCUAGGACCUAGGAAAAAAGGGUGCGCCGUUUGAGAGAAUAGAAGGACCCAUCGUUCUGUUACUUCUUCUCGAAUUGAAAAACCAGCAACACAAAGAGACCUUAACUUCCAUGGCUGCUCCUUAACCAAAACCAAACGACUCUCCGUUCUUCAUCUUCUUCUACAUUUCUGAAUGCACACACACAGAUACAAUCAGGGAGCCCUUCUUCACCACCUCACAGCUUUGCCACCAUCUUCUUCACGCCCCAAAAGCAGCCGCUCACUAAAGCCCCAUGUCCGACCACUAUUUCUACUUCGCCGUUCAGAGUCCCGGCAAGCUCCAAAUUGAGUAAACGGAAUACCAAAGAAAACAAAUUUGAGAGAACACAACAGUGAUGAUAUUCAAUCCAAAAACAGAACCAUGAAACUCCAAUAUAAAUUAGGUCCAAAUCUCGCGUCUUCAACGCUCAAAAAUCAGCUAUUUAAAUGUGUCUUUCUGGUUCAGUUUGAGCUUUCCGUCAAGCUUUUAGGUCAUCGAUGGUCGUUGUCUAGAGGGGCUCUGUUUUAGUCGUGCGUUAAGGUAUCGUCUGGUUGGUUUCCGGUUUGAUUUUCUGCCGGGGUUCUAACAUUUGAGGUCUCCGGUCACUGGUUUUUCUAAGAUUUGUUUUGGAGCUGAAUUUGUUGAUAAUCGAAGGUGGUGGCUGAACUCCCACACUACUGUUUCCUUCAGUUUAUUUAGCCGUGUUGGAUUUGUUUCUUGAAAAUUCAGGUGUGGAUCCACUUACAUGAGUUUGAGCAUGACAGAUACCCCAGACCACCGCAUUCAGGAGUUGCUUAAGGAGAUUUCUUUUUAUAUUUGUUAUUUUUAUUUUAUUUUUAUGUUUGGAGUACGUUUUUUUUACGUCGUCUUUUACUUUCUAGUUAAAUAGCGUGGAUGUAAAUUUAGUCCUAAAUCGUAGGAUAAAUUAAUUAUGAAUAUCGUAGUUGCUUUAGGUGCGUAAUUUAAAUUACCUUCCUAAA